CACGUGCCUUCGCCGCGUUGGUGGGUCUGCCUCCGUGCUGCCUGUUGUGGAGAGAGGCCACGCCUUCCUUCGUCCCUCCUUUUGCCUCUCUCGGUUUUCGCUGUCCACCGUUCUCCUCCUUCGCUCCACUAGGCUUCACUUCCUUUUCGCCUCGCCGCGGUUAGCUGAUCUUCUUCGUCGUCGCCGCGUGCAUGCCAGCGGCAAUGGCGUCUGCGCAUUCGGUCGGUGCUGCUGGUUAAGCCCAGUUUCUUCCCCUGCUGUCCUGCGCCCGUCAUCGCACCGUUCUGCCGUUUGCAUUAAGGUUGUUCGUCUGUUGCUGCGCCUUCGUUUGCUCGCUGCUGUUCUGGCUGUGCUUCUUCGGUCUGGAGUUUGGAUUACUCUGAGCACUGCCUGUAGCAAAGCCAUCAUGGCAGCCUGCACAUAAGGACUUCCGUGCGGCACAGGUAGGUUCUCAUGGUAGCCUUUGAUCCACUCGGAUCUCAAUGGUACUGGAGACUCUAAGGAUAAGCUGACACCUAAUAAGGAUCAGCAGAACAACAAAGAUGCUAAGAGGCAACCUUUUGGGUUUAAGGAUAUCAACAACAGGGCUUAUGAUGCCGAAGAGAGCUCGAGUGGCGUCUUUUGGUUCUUGAAGCCCUGCGCUUUCCUGGUGGAGUAGCAGCAACAACAGGGCUUAUGAGGCCGAAGAGAGCUUGAGUGGCGACUUUUGGUUCUUGAAGCCCUGCACUUUCCUGGUGGAGUAGCAGCAAAAUACUUCAGAGGCUUUAAAGCUACUGCACUUCACAUAGUUAGGAUCAAUUCUUUGUUUUGGUUUGAAAUACUCCCAAGUUCCUCCUAUUUGAUUGAUUCAUCUGAUGGACAUUAUGUCAGGCAAAUAUCCAUACAAGUCGAGAUAUUAAUAAUCCCAUAUGUGGAAUUCAAGAUAUAGAGAAAUACUAUUAUUCUUCUGCUAAUUGGUUGCUUGACCAAAUGUACUGUAGAUGAUCUUAUUAUUGUUCAAGAUAUAGGGAAAUGUUAUUGUUCUUCAUUGUAGUGGAUGAUAUCCAUCCCAGUUAUUGAGAUGAUGCAAGUACUA